CCUACGGGGCGCAGCAGUGGGGAAUAUUGGGCAAUGGGCGCAAGCCUUACCCAGCAAUACCGCGUGAGUGAAGAAGGUCUUCGGAUUGUAAAGCUCUUUGAUCAGGGACGAACAGAUGACGGUACCUGAAGAACAAGCCCCGGCUAACUACGUGCCAGCAGCCGCGGUAAAACGUAGGGGGCAAGCGUUAUCCGGAUUUACUGGGUGUAAAGGGAGCGUAGACGGCAGAGCAAGUCUGGAGGGAAAGGCGGGGGCUCAACCCCC
rnacentral:rRNA from 1 species